GCCUCGAUUUCAUUUUUUAAUCGAUCCUAACAAAUUAGCGGGAAACUUCACAAGGCUGUGUCAUUUCUAUUCUGUGGCUGUGUCGGCCGAUGGAGAUUCAAUCGAAUAUAAUGUUUACAUGAAAAACAACUAAGAUUGCAUAUGUUGCCAGUUUAAAUUUGGCUGUUUGGUGCCAGUUCCUUACGGUUAUCACCCAUAACAUUAUCUGAGCCAACGUCGGGGAAGCACAGUGAGUGAAUAUGAAGAACAAAACGACAAAAAAAAACAUAUAGGCUUGAUCCAGGUUUGUCUGACAAAGAGCAGAUUGGCAUUCGAGAGAACCAGGCUAUAGUCUUAAGCAAACAAGUACAGUGACUACUGAAGAAGAAAAAGAGCAGAGAACAUUUUUGCCACAAUCAAUUGUGUUGCAAAAGUUGAUAGUUGUGGUGUUAUUGCAGAGGAAGAAGCUCACAAGAAGGCAAGCACCUACCAAGAAGAAAAGAAACUUUCGAGUCAGGGAUGAACCAUGUGCUGUUUGAUGCCACCGCUAACUGGAAGAUAACUGGUCAUCUGGCUGUUGCUUGGUGAUUGAAUGAAGCUCAGAUCUUGGUGUAGCAUCUUAGAACCAUUCUACUCCACAGACCAUAGUCUAUAAUCACUGACUUUUGUGAUAUUCAAGAUUAUUAUCGUUACCAGCUAUCAAACACAAGUACUAAAGGUAUACCCCUUAUGAUAUGGGUAUUGCCACCCGUUCAAACAUGGGUUCGGUCAUUGAACAUCUAAACUUUUGUGUCCUUCUAUGUUUCAUUUUCUUCUUAUGUUUUAUGUUUUUACUCUUAUAGAAACUAUAGAUCUUCUUUAAAUGGCAUUCUUUGUAAUAAGAAAACGUGUAAGGAUUAAAUUAACCUUAUGAGGGGGAGGCAAGCAGCCUCUGUGAUAUCUAUGGAGGUCCUAUUACCUUGCAUAGCAUGGAUUGAUCUUUGCAUGUCGAUGAUCACUGAAAAAAAUCAAAUAAUAAUCACUGAAAAGAAUAAAAAUUUAUAUUGGUUGCGCUUGGAUCAUCAACCGUUUAUUAAAUUUCAUAAUUUUAAAAAAGACUGUCUCUUUUUGAGACACAACCCAAGGGGAGUCACUUGAACUUUUUAUAUACGGGGAGGUCCAUCCGCAAUUAUCAAAAUUCCCCUAAAGGUAUCGAAUAAAAAUUUUACAGACCAAAAAUUAUCAGCUAAAAAAUGUUGAUAAGACCCAAAAAUGUCAAAAUACAAAAACUGGUUGUUGAGCACAUAGGAUACCGCUAGUCAUAGUAAUUUAGACUGUUUCCUAUGAUAAUCAUUUUAAACACGUCUGUUCUUUUAUUCCUGUUUUUGAUAUCGUUUUGUGACAGUUGGACCCACGAGUAUCAAAAAAGUAAAUCGUUAAAUCAGGUACCCAGAAGUAACAGAUCAAAAAAAAUUCUUACUCAUAAUUAUCGGAUGGAAUCCCCCCGUAUAUAACAAUUUCAAGUAACCCCCUGGGGACACAACACACCCUAUAAGAAGUACCAGAGUAUCUGACUGAAUGUUAAAAGGUUACGCACUAAUUUCCAUUUUAAUUUGUGUAUUUUACACCGAGCUCUUGGAUGAUUACGAUUCUUAAGGCUGACUGUUCUUUGUAGAAAUAGACUUGAAAAUACCUGGCUCUGUAGUAUGGGUUUUCCAUUUCCUUGCUUGGUAUAUUCAUUUCUGCAUAGCUGAAACAUGCAUUAAAGUAUUAAUCAGAUUCAUCUAAAGUAAUUGGUAGUAAUCAUUUAAACCCUUGCUGGUUGCUUCUAUUGAAAUGCAUUUUAGAAAAAACGCUUAUGAAUAUACGUACUACAGGGCAAUAGCCCCUCCAGCCCUGAUUACGUUUUUAUUUAAGAAAAUAUGACAAUUUCUCCCUUUAUGUGAACAAAGGAUUCGUUCCCAAGUCAGUGUCCUUUAAAAAAGGCUUUAAUACCACAUCUGCCAUAUCAACCGGAAAACUCUAUAUAGUACAAGACACGGAUUUGCACAAGGUAAAAAGAAAAUAAGAAAAAAGGAAAGCAUACGCUAUGUUUUCAAUUAUGCCAUCCAGUGCGUUGUUUGCCAGAGACCUACACAAAAUGGAGAAAGUACAGCCUAGGAAGACGAACCAGCGAGAAUCUUAUUUCAAACAGCCAUAGAGUUCUUAAGUGUGACGUCAUAAAGAACUAUUUUCAAUUUUUAUUUAGCUUUGACUAGAUAACAUAAUAUAAAACUUCUUCUAAAUAUGGAAAAUCAAUGACAAAUUCUCAAUAUGGAAAAUCAAUAAAAUGUGUUAAUUACUGGAUGAGAUCCGGCCACUUUUAUUAUUAUUUAUUGUAUCAUUUUUUGGAAUUUAGUUACUUGGUCCUGGCCAUAUGAAAGAAUUUGAGUUCAAGUGAUGUAAAACCCAAGUGAAUUGUCAAUAUAUACUUUUUUGCUUACAUUUAGCAAAUACAAAAUAUAAACCAGAUAAAUAUUUCUUACGUCUUCCUGGCAUCAUCCAUGCUAACUAAAGGCAUUGCACUGCAAAAAAGAAAGUUUUUCCGGUUGUUAUACAUUUGUCUAAGACCAUAAUGUUAGACCGUUACGAUUUGCUUGUUAUUUACAUAUCGCAAAAUAGAAAAAGAUACUUCUACCCAUCUCUCAUUAGGUAAUAGGCCUAUUUUCACUUGAAAAAAUCUUUCACCGUGUUCUUAUGAAGCUUGUGAUGAUAGUACUCUCUCAAUCGCUCCAACGGUGCCAAUCACACACUUAAUAGUAAUCACGUGAUAAAUUACUAAUCAUGAUAAUUAAACAUAGUAUAUCAAUCGGUUCUUUGUAUAUAAAGAGGGAAAUGAUGAUUUGAAUGAAGAGAAGAAGGCUGUUUCGUUCUCUAAAGUUCUACCUUCACAACCUAUCAGAAACCCCUCCCUCAACCUCAUCAAUGAACCUGAAUAACCCCUGAGUGAAAUUUAUAUGAAAUGUUUCAAAGGAAAUUGACUUUUGAGAGUAAACUGCUUAUGCAUAAAUAAAGUCAUGUGUGCAAUCUAAGUACACAUGCAUCGUAGUUGAUACACCCUGUGUAUACUGUGGUUAAGGCUUCUUUGAUCGUUGAGUCUAUGGCUUAUGUUGAUAAAAUUUAACGAGAUACAAAAGGACGGCAAA